rnacentral:tRNA from 1 species
GCCGCCGUAGCUCAGCGGUAGAGCAACGGACUUUUAAUCCGAUGUGCGCAGGUUCGAUCCCUGCCGGCGGCA